rnacentral:rRNA from 1 species
AUACGGAGGAUGCGAGCGUUAUCCGGAUUUAUUGGGUUUAAAGGGUGCGUAGGCUGUUUUUCAAGUCAGGGGUGAAAUGCCGGGGCUCAACUCCGGAGCUGCCUUUGAUACUGGGAGGCUGGAAUACUGUUGCCGUGGGAGGAAUGAGUAGUGUAGCGGUGAAAUGCAUAGAUAUUACUCAGAACACCGAUUGCGAAGGCAUCUCACGAAGCAGUGAUUGACGCUGAGGCACGAAAGCGUGGGGAUCAAACAGGAUUAGAUACCCUGGUAGUCCACGCAGUAAACGAUGAUAACUAACCGUUGGCGAUAGACAGCCAGUGGCCAAGCGAAAGCGAUAAGUUAUCCACCUGGGGAGUACGACCGCAAGGUUGAGACUCAAAUGAAUUGACGGGG